AAAUCACUAAAGUUUGGGACUGUGUGUCUGAGUGCUGUCACCAAGACCUGCUGCUGAAGAAGGUGGGGCUGGUUUCCUCAUGGUCCUCCCUCAGACCAUGGGGGUUUCCUGAUCCUUCCCCAUCCUGCCUGGCUCUCACCCAGCCUAGAGGGCAGAAGAGGUGUCCCAGGCAGAACCCUACAUUUUAGCCAGAGACCCACUGUGAGUGCAGGCAAGAAGUCAAGUGGCGCUUGAGUGGAAGAAAGUUGGAUUUCCUCUUUGGAGUCUUCUACAGGAUGGCUGGAAAGGAGGGACACCCAGGCAGUGCUCCUGCACUCCCUGGGCUUUCCCAGGCUCCAGGAGUCUCUCCCACAUGUCUUGCACCCUGCAGAUCCUGGAAAGGAGUGAGUGAGAAACCAUCUGGAGUGAAAGGCUCUUCUUCAAAGUUUUCCUGGGGGCUUCAUGUCAGACCUUGGAGCUGCAGGGUUGGAAAUGCCACAGAUGACCCUUAGCCUUCUCUCCUGUUUGCCCUCUGAUUGCCUGCUUUUGCUUCCAGACAGUCGGGCUGAUGGGCCUGGGUACCAUUCACAUUAUGAAAAGACCCAUCUGGCAUGGAGAGGGGGAAGGUUUCAUGGCAGACAGUCUGGAGUUUAAUCUGAACAAGCCAUUUACGGUGGGAAAGAAGCGUGUCCGUGGGAAAAGCCCCAUGCCUGGGCUCUCCAAAGCAGACGAGCUGGUCUGUGCUGAGGUGGCCUUGCGCCUGCACAAGCCCAAGGCCACCAUCGUGAUGUGCAUCGAGGCCACACUAAAGAUCUGUGAGUGGGCCUUGUCCAGUGGCCAGAACUUGGACUUUGUGUUCAAGGACAUUGGCAUCCUGGUCUGCCGAGGAAACCACGUGGUCAUGAGGUUCUUUGAAGACUUGGUCCGAAAGGUGGCUCAGUCACAGUACCUGGCAGAGGGUUUGCUCCAGUCACCCAAUCUGAAGCCAUUAUUCAUGGCGUACACGGAAAAGGACAUUUCCCAGAUUCCACAUGAAGGUGUCUUAGUGCUGCCACACUUUGUGAAAGCAGAUGGGAAGUCCCAGCCACAUCCUAUAAGUGCUUCCCUACACGGCAGUGGAACCAGAAGCAAGACCAACACCAAGUGCCAAAAAACUCCGGGGAACAUUCCCAGCCAACGCCUCCUUCUUCGUCCGCGUCUUUCUCCAAGUCGGAUAUGUGAUGUGAAAGUGAUGGGAAGAGAAAAGAAAAAGGCUGAGGGUGGAGUGCAGAGAGGGAGUUUGCUGCCUCCAAUUGAGAACUCUGUGAAGAAGGGCACAGCCACCAAGGGCAUGGAAGCACCCCAAGCUGGGCUGGCAGCUCCCACCAGGCAGGGAAAACAUGUCCAGCUUCCACCCCUGGAAGGGCACAGGAGUCUGGGGAAGGCUGCUGCCUUCUGUCCUGGAGGAUUUGAAAAGCUAAGGAAGGAGAGAGUGGCUGGUGUGGCAGGAGUGGCUGCUGCUUUGUCCCCAGAGAGAAAGGAGAAGACACUGUCCCCUUGUAGAGGAAGACCACAGCCAAGGACCCCACGAGCAAAACAGGUCCUGCUAAAUCUGCAGCCAUACAAAGUUGCCCGGGAGCAGUGCACGAAGGCCUUGCAGAUCAAUAGGUUACGGAAAUGGUCCGACGGCAAUUCCUUCACUCCUGGAUCUACCUUGAGCUUGGUGAAGCCACUGGAGAUCCAUGAAGAGACAAGAGCAGAACUGGAACAUGAGGACAGCGACAUGGCACCAUGAAAAAAGGAAUAAAGACCUAGAAAUCCAUCACCUUGAUGUUUGAAUUGUUGCUCCAUACCAGGGAUUGAGCCCUUGGUUGGGACAACAGUGUUUGGUAAUCCAGAUGGGACUGGUGGACAUGGACAACUCCAGUCACAGAAUCCCAGGAUAGGUGAGGUUGGAAGGGACCUCAGUGGCUCAUCUGGUCCUACUUUCCUGCUCUAGCAGGGCCAUCCCAGAGCACAGGAUUGUAUCUGGAUGGGUCAAAAAUAUCCCUGGUGAGGGAGACUCCACCCCCUCUCCAGACCACCUGUUCCCGGCUCGAUCACUCCACUGCAAGGAAGUUCUACCUCAUGUUCAGCUGGAACUUCCUGGGCAUCAGUUCCUGUCCGUUCCCCUUGUCCCAUUGCUGGGGCUCCUGGAGCAGAUCCUGGGCCCUGCUCUGAGCCCUCC
rnacentral:lncRNA from 1 species